rnacentral:rRNA from 1 species
AUUGAACGCUGGCGGCAGGCCUAACACAUGCAAGUCGAACGAGUGGCAGACGGGUGAGUAAUGUCUGGGAACCUGCCCGCUGGAGGGGGUUAACUACUGGAACCGGUAGCUAAUACCGCAUACCAUCGGAUGUGCCCAGGUGGGAUUAGCUAGUGGGUGGGGUAACGGCUCACCUAGGCGACGAUCCCUAGCUGGUCUGAGAGGAUGACCAGCCACACUGGGACUGAGACACGGUCCAGACUCCUACGGGAGGCAGCAGUGGGGAAUAUUGCACAAUGGGCGCAAGCCUGAUGCAGCCAUGCCGCGUGUAUGAAGAAGGCCUUCGGGUUGUAAAGUACUUUCAGCGGGGAGGCGUUACCCGCAGAAGAAGCACCGGCUAACUCCGUGCCAGCAGCCGCGGUAAUAC